AGUCACUGACAUUAGAUACCCCCGUAGUCCAGGGUGUAAACGCUGCAGACUUGGUGUUGGAAGCCCUUUGGGGGCAUUCAGUGCCGGAGAGAAGUUGUUAAGUCUGCUACUUGGGGAGUACGUCCGCAAGGAUGAAACUUAAAGGAAUUGGCGGGGGAGCACCGCAACGGGAGGAGCAUGCGGUUUAAUUGGAUUCAACACCGUAAAACUCACCAGGGAAGACUGUUACAUGAAGGCCGAGAUGAAGACUCUGCCAGAUUUUCAG
rnacentral:rRNA from 1 species